CAGACACCAGAAUGUUUUGACGAUUUUUAGCAUUCGUUUAGGAUUUUUAAACAACCUGGUCUCUUUUAAAAUACUUUAAAUUUGUUCUUACGUGGUUUUCCAAAUGUAGUGACGACAACAUUAAAGUUUAAAGAAGAAAAUUCUAACAUUUAAACCGACUAAACAAUAACAUAGUAAACUUGCAUAAUUAAACAGCAACUAAAAAUGAUAGGUUUACUAAAUCUUUUCCUGUGCAAUUAUUACUAGCAUUGGAGACAAGGAUAAUAGUUUGUUUGAAAGAGAAAAGAAC